GCCAGAGGCCGACGGUGACGGCCAUGUCCUUGAAGCCCUGCAGGCGCUCGAGGGCGUCGACGACGGCGGCCAUGCGCGGGCGGUCGCGCGGCUGCGGGCUGGUGCACUGGACGGCGAGGUGGGCGACGGCGCGGGCGGCCUUGACGGAGUAGUGGCCGGCGAGGCGCGGGUCCAUGAUGCAGCGGAGGCGGCGGCUGCUGCCGAGGUAGGGGCGGG
rnacentral:misc_RNA from 1 species